UGUGCAGGACACCUGAGGGGACACGUGGACGCCUGCCAGAUGCACUAGGAAUCAGGACAGGACAGACUGCACACAGAACCCUUCCCACAAGUGAAGAACAGCCCAGGAUUGGCUCCUGCUGCCUCACUGUACCCACACAGACUCCCAAACGUGCUCAGUAUAAAUAGUUUAUUAAAGAAAAUAGCAAAUUCCAAUUCUGUGAACAAUCAACAGGGGAGAAGUGUUUUUCAAAAUAGACAAUUUUGGAUUACUGUGUGUGAAGGGACAGGGGAUCCCAUGAGGUGGGAGGGAAACAUAAAAACACAAAUGUUCUGGGGUGACAGGAAAGCCUCAGCCCCUGCAGAAAUGCCUGGAAAGGGGAACAGGAGUGGGACAGAAGUGCCAAUGACAAAGACACAACAGGAGACAACAGAUUAAAACAUUAAACUGGGACUGAAACUCUUCUAAGCACUGCAGGGCAGGAAGGACUUUGCUCCACGUGUGCAGCACCUUGGUCUGUGGGCUGAGCUCAGUGAAUGAUCUCAAUUAAAAGAAAUAUACAAUAAUCCAAGUGUCAAAUAGAACCUUUUGUGACUCCAUGCUGUGAGAGCACCUUUCAUUCCCUUUGCAGAUUGGUUUACAUUUCUCUGAUCACUGUUGAAGGACAGAAAAUACAACACCAGAAAGACACAGAGUUAUGCAGUGCACACCCACCACAGACAGAAAGGGAGGAGCUGAACUGCCUUCUGCACUUGGGAAAGUGGCAUUGAAAAGCUCUAAAUCAGUUUGAAGAUAUUUUCCAAGAGAGAAUUUUCCUACUUGUGAGAAACCCUGUGAUCAAUGGUGCACUCAGCACAGGAUCUCCUUCCCCACAUCCCCCUCUGAAGUGUCUCUGCCUUGAGGAAGCUGAGGUGGGAAACUUUGGCACUUCCUGGAGGGACAUCAAAAGCUCUCCCAGCCUGUGGGUUCCACGUGUGCUUUGGGGACAGAAGAGGUCACAGAGGGGCUGCAGGUCCAGGUGUAGAAGUGCAUAGAAGAGUCCCAGCUGAGCACUGGAAAGGCCCAGCCUGAGAUGAGGUUACAGAAACACCGAGCCAGGAAAUGCUCCUUCCCCCAGGCAAGCUCCAGGAAGCACUUACCCAAUCCCAACGUUUCCCAGAGCAGUGGAAAUAAGAAAAGUGAAAUCAAAAAAAGUAUUUGGAAGUGUCAGUUUGCUCUUGCUGUGUGAACUGGAUCACUUGAUCUUGGCCAGUGCUGCUGCUCUCCUCUCUGUGUUCUGGAACAGGGCUCGGAUCAGGCUCUUCACCUCAGCUGCUGAAAAUUCCUCUGCCAGAGGCCCCUUGCCAUCUGCCCACCUGGAUGGGAGACAGGGAGAGCUUUAUGUCACCAACCUGCCCAGAAAUGGCACCUCCAACAAGCCUCCAAGGACCUGUGCCAGCAGCUGAUCCUGACCCUCUCCUCUGGAAAAGGAAACAGAAAGGAAAAGGAGAGGAAAAGGAAAAGGGAAAAAAAGGAAAAGUUCCUGCUCUUCCUGUGAACUGCAGCUCCCUGGCACAGGUCUGGAGAAGCAGCUGGAAAGGAAAACACCUACUGAUCCACGAUUUCUUGGAGGUUGGCCUGCAGGAUGAUCAUCAGCUCCUUGAAUGUCAUCCACUUCUGCACAUAGACUGGAACCUCCUCUUGGUACUUCUUGUUUUUGUCUUCUUCAAGCAGAGGGGUGAAAACUUGGGGUCCUUCCUCCACCAUGAUCCUGCAGAGUGAGUACAGCCUGUCUGCAUCCUGUGCAGAGAUAUCCUGGAAUGGGGAGGACAUGAACAGAGCUCAAGUGAGGUUUGUUUCUGGAGUGCCAAGUGAAAUGAAAAAAUGAGAUUGUGAACAUUUCCCGUGGAUACAUAAUUUGUGUGUGGAUGAAUUGCUCCCCUGAAAUGUGAUUUUGGGGAGUUUCUGGAGGUGACAAACACUGUCCCCAGCACCCCCCAUGGCUGUUACCUCCAGGGCAGCAAUCCUGGUGACAAUCUCUGCCAGGGCUGUGUUCAGUAAGGCCCCCAUGGCCUUGCAGUACACGUUCACAGGGAGCACAUCCUGCCACACCAUGCCCAGCCUCCUCAGCUGGUGCAAAACCUGCAAGGAACAGCACAGUGUGACACCAGACAGAACCCUGGGAAAGGCACCAGGGCAUCAGGAGAGUACAAACGGGGAGAAACAAUGGAGCAAUCCUGCUCAAGACACAGCCCAGGACAAAAAACCCAAACCAUCACAUCAGAAAAUAGUUUUUUCAGCACAGCUGUCAGGGCUGAGAUUCCACACUGCACCUCCCCAGGAUCCCUGCAGGCACUGGAUGCUCUUUCUCUGCCCCCCUCACCUGCUUUAUGGCUUUAUUUGCUGCACAGUAAUUCUCCUCAUCAUCCAUGUUGGAAAAAUUCCUGGCACUCGAGAGCCUCUCCAGGAUUUCUCCCUUCUGCACUCGCAUCUGGGCCAGAAAACACUCCAUCCCUUUAGGAGCAAAGCAAGCAGAGAGAAGCAAUUAAACAAUUACUAAAUCUGCUCUGCCUAUUUAUGACUGUAAGUGCUGAAUAAUGAACUUGCUAUAAUGUUUUAUUUUUAAUCAAAUUUCCAGUCUCCAAACAGUCUCCUAGAGCCAGUUUAACCAGUGAGCUCUAGUGCAGCUUGCAUUGCUGCAACACUGCUGGAAAAAAGCAGAGCAGCAGAAUGAACUCUGGAUGACUCCUGUUAGCUCACACAAACCUAUCUCUGAAUUUACUUCUGUGGAAUAACUAAGGAAAGUAUCACAGGACUGAGCAGCAGAUCCCAGAACACAUCUUGCUGGAUACUGUUCUUGGGACUAAGUUCACAAGGAACACAGGUUUCAAAGAGCCAAAACUUCCUAACUCCGAAAAUGUCUCCGCCAAACAACAACUUGUCCGAACAAAACAAAUCUGAGCGAGCAGCCCCACCUCCACGAAACCACUCAGCAAGUGGCAGGGUGAACUCCCAGGAGAAACAUCCUGAAAAAUCUGUGCAUCGGACCUGAGGUCAAAGUUACGUGGCUGGAAACAAAUACAGCUGUGUGAGAUUGAUCAUAGACUGACGACACAGAAACUCAAGCACCUGCCUUGCACAGGUAAGGUUUAAUUAGAGACUGGCCAGUUGAUUUUUGCAGAUGGAGCUGUAGUGGACAAGUGGGACUGUGCCAACAGCAGCACUCCCCCUCAGAGCAGGAAAUGUGGACACACUCACCUGUGGUAUGUGGGCACUACCUCAUAGAAGAGCUGGAAGAUGUUCCUGACACAGGCAAAGAGCUGCACACAGCUACGAGAGAAAGAGAGCUCAUGUCAGCCUGGCAUUAAUGUCCUGUUCACAGCUGCCCCUCAGCCUGCCCAAACAGGGCUCCUGUCAGCCUGGCAUUAAUGUCCUGUUCACAGCUGCCCCUCAG